rnacentral:rRNA from 1 species
UACGGAGGGUGCAAGCGUUGCUCGGAAUUAUUGGGCGUAAAGGGCAGGUAGGUGGUCUCGUUUGUCUAGGGUGAAAGCCUUGAGCUUAACUCAAGAAGUGCCCUAGAAACGGCGAGACUAGAGUUCUGGAGAGGGUCGUGGAAUUCCCGGUGUAGCGGUGAAAUGCGUAGAGAUCGGGAGGAACACCAGAGGCGAAGGCGGCGACCUGGACAGAUACUGACACUCAACUGCGAAAGCGUGGGGAGCAAACAGG